AUUGAACGCUGGCGGCAUGCCUUACACAUGCAAGUCGAACGGUAACAGGUUAAGCUGACGAGUGGCGAACGGGUGAGUAAUAUAUCGGAACGUGCCCAGUCGUGGGGGAUAACUGCUCGAAAGAGCAGCUAAUACCGCAUACGACCUGAGGGUGAAAGCGGGGGAUCGCAAGACCUCGCGCGAUUUGAGCGGCCGAUAUCAGAUUAGGUAGUUGGUGGGGUAAAGGCCUACCAAGCCUACGAUCUGUAGCUGGUCUGAGAGGACGACCAGCCACACUGGGACUGAGACACGGCCCAGACUCCUACGGGAGGCAGCAGUGGGGAAUUUUGGACAAUGGACGCAAGUCUGAUCCAGCCAUGCCGCGUGCGGGAAGAAGGCCUUCGGGUUGUAAACCGCUUUUGUCAGGGAAGAAAAGGUUCUGGUUAAUACCUGGGACUCAUGACGGUACCUGAAGAAUAAGCACCGGCUAACUACGUGCCAGCCGCCGCGGUAACAC
rnacentral:rRNA from 1 species